GGAUCAUUGUCGAAAUCGAACGGAAGAACGACCCGCGAAUCGUAAUUGCGUAGUAGACAGAGCCCGCGAGCACCUAACGCUCGUGGGUCUCGCGUCGCGUCGGCGCGGGUGCACUCGAGACCCGCGUCGUACCGGCGGACAAACAACGUCAGCACGGAUCGUGCCAAGGAGCUGCAUGGAGAGAAUCGUCGUCCCACGCCUUUGAUAGUCCUCGACGCGGGACGGGGGACGUACGCAAUCUCUACUCGAGUCUAAACGACUCUCGGCAACGGAUAUCUCGGCUCUUGCAUCGAUGAAGAACGUAGCGAAAUGCGAUACUUGGUGUGAAUUGCAGAAUCCCGUGAACCAUCAAUUCUUUGAACGCAAGUUGCGCCCGAAGCCAUUCGGCCGAGGGCACGCCUGCCUGGGCGUCGUGAAUCCCCUUGCCCCUAGGCACCCCGCACGAGCAUCGGCGGGGAUAUAUGCUCGGGCGCAGAAUAUGGUCUCCCGUGGGAUCGGCAUGCACGGCAUGUCGAGGUGCGGUUGGCCGAAAAUCGAGCAUGGCGGUGACGGGCACCACGGCGUUCGGUGGAUCGAACGAGAUUGGCUUGCGUCGUGGGCCCGGCAUGCGGCGGGCUCCGGACUUUGAAUAUCCCCGAGUGCGAUCCCAGGUCAGGCGGGGCUACCCGCUGAGUUUAAGCAUAUCAAUAAGCGGAGGAAAAGAAACUAACGAGGAUUCCCUUAGUAGCGGC
rnacentral:rRNA from 1 species